rnacentral:rRNA from 1 species
GGGCCCGCACAAGCAGUGGAGCAUGUGGUUUAAUUCGAUGCAACGCGAAGAACCUUACCAAGGCUUGACAUAUAGAGGAAAAGUGCAGAAAUGCACUCCCCGCAAGGUCUCUAUACAGGUGGUGCAUGGUUGUCGUCAGCUCGUGUCGUGAGAUGUUGGGUUAAGUCCCGCAACGAGCGCAACCCUCGUCCUAUGUUGCCAGCACGUAAUGGUGGGAACUCAUGGGAUACUGCCGGGGUCAACUCGGAGGAAGGUGGGGAUGACGUCAAAUCAUCAUGCCCCUUAUGUCUUGGGCUUCACGCAUGCUACAAUGGCUAGGACAGACGGCCGCAAACCCGCGAGGGGAGCCAA